rnacentral:misc_RNA from 1 species
CAUUUCAACCCUCAGGCCCUGUGGCCUGGUGCUGGGGCAUCUACAAGUCUGUAGGCCCUGAAAUAUAGUGGCGGGCCUGCGAAGACCCCGAGCGUAGUAAUUACACAAUCGCUCAGGGCGUCUAGCAGGCUUACUUGCCGUUAAACCCCCCAAUUUUAAUGGUUGACCUCGGAUCAGGUAGGAAUACCCGCUGAACUUAA